rnacentral:rRNA from 1 species
UACCAGCACCCCGAGUGGUCGGACGUUUAUUGGGCCUAAAGCAUCCGUAGCCGAUUCUACAAGUCUUCCGUUAAAUCCAGCUGCUUAACAGAUGGGCUGCGGAAGAUACUAUGGAGCUAGGAGGCGGGAGAGGCAAGCGGUACUCGAUGGGUAGGGGGGUAAAAAAUCCGUUGAUCCAUUGAAGACCACCAGUGGCGAAGGCGGCUUGCCAGAACGCGCUCCGACGGU